rnacentral:rRNA from 1 species
UACAGAGGGUGCAAGCGUUAAUCGGAAUUACUGGGCGUAAAGCGUGUGUAGGUGGUUUUCUAAGUCAGGUGUGAAAUCCCUGGGCUCAACCCAGGAACUGCAUUUGAUACUGGAAGACUAGAGUGUGGUAGAGGAUGGUGGAAUUCCCGGUGUAGCGGUGAAAUGCGUAGAUAUCGGGAGGAACAUCAGUGGCGAAGGCGGCCAUCUGGACUGACACUGACACUGAGACACGAAAGCGUGGGGAGCAAACAGG